GACGAACGCUGGCGGCGUGCUUAACACAUGCAAGUCGAACGGUAAGGCCCUUUCGGGGGUACACGAGUGGCGAACGGGUGAGUAACACGUGGGUAAUCUGCCCUGCACUUCGGGAUAAGCCUGGGAAACUGGGUCUAAUACCGGAUAUUAGUCCCGGCCGCAUGGUCUGGGGUUGGAAAGUUUUUCGGUGCAGGAUGAGCCCGCGGCCUAUCAGCUUGUUGGUGGGGUAAUGGCCUACCAAGGCGACGACGGGUAGCCGGCCUGAGAGGGUGAUCGGCCACACUGGGACUGAGACACGGCCCAGACUCCUACGGGAGGCAGCAGUGGGGAAUAUUGCACAAUGGGCGGAAGCCUGAUGCAGCGACGCCGCGUGGAGGAUGACGGUCUUCGGAUUGUAAACCCCUUUCAGUAGGGACGAAGCGCAAGUGACGGUACCUGCAGAAGAAGCACCGGCCAACUACGUGCCAGCAGCCGCGGUAA
rnacentral:rRNA from 1 species